UACGUAGGGGGCAAGCGUUGUCCGGAAUCAUUGGGCGUAAAGCGCGCGCAGGUGGGUGUGCAAGUCGGAAGUGAAAUCUUGAGGCUCAACCUCGAGGCUGCUCCCGAAACUGCACGCCUAGGGACUGGUAGAGGCUGGUAGAAUUCCCGGUGUAGCGGUGGAAUGCGUAGAGAUCGGGAAGAAUACCCGUGGCGAAGGCGGCCAGCUGGGCCAGGUCCGACACUGAGGCGCGAAAGCGUGGGGAGCAAACAGG
rnacentral:rRNA from 1 species